UUUUACUCCAGAAUGAGAUUUUCAGAUGGGAGAAUCGAGCCUUAAGUUCAGGUGGCGACUCAGCUAUGAUGGUGUCUAAAGGUAGUGAUAGCAGAGGAUGAAGUGGUAGAGGAUCGCAACAUAGGCGGUCCAAGUCCAGAAUGAGGGACUCGAGCAAGAUUAAGUACUACUAGUGUGACGAGUUGGAAGAUCAUGUCAGAGAUUGCCUACAGCUCAGAGAUCGGAUGAAGACUAUCAUAACGAUGGCAGAUAGUGAGGGCAGGAAGAAAGAUUUGAACUUGGAUGCAGAAGACAGCGAUGAUGUUCUUCUAGU
rnacentral:lncRNA from 1 species